rnacentral:rRNA from 1 species
UGGGGAAUUUUGGACAAUGGGGGAAACCCUGAUCCAGCCAUGCCGCGUGCGGGAAGAAGGCCUUCGGGUUGUAAACCGCUUUUGUCGGGGAAGAAAUCUUUCGAACUAAUACCUUGAGAGGAUGACGGUACCCGAAGAAUAAGCACCGGCUAACUACGUGCCAGCAGCCGCGGUAAUACGUAGGGUGCAAGCGUUAAUCGGAAUUACUGGGCGUAAAGCGUGCGCAGGCGGUUAUGCAAGACAGAUGUGAAAUCCCCGGGCUUAACCUGGGAACUGCAUUUGUGACUGCAUAGCUGGAGUACGGCAGAGGGGGAUGGAAUUCCGCGUGUAGCAGUGAAAUGCGUAGAUAUGCGGAGGAACACCGAUGGCGAAGGCAAUCCCCUGGGCCUGUACUGACGCUCAUGCACGAAAGCGUGGGGAGCAAACAGGAUUAGAUACCCCCGUAGUCC